rnacentral:lncRNA from 1 species
AAAGGUAUUGAAGAUAAGUUUUUCAGUAAGUUAUAAAUAUAGCUAACAUCCAACAAAGGGCGAAGUGGAUCAAUCUUUUAUCAAUAAAAACCAACCUACUAAUCUUUUUGACAAUUCCAAUCUCACCUAACACACCACCUACGCCAAAAACCUCCCAACAAAAAUCGCGGUGGCAGUUUAUCUCACAGCUACAAGCCAAAUAAUGAUUCUCCACCAGCAAAUUUAGUAGACCAGUUAAUUAGUAUUUUUA